rnacentral:rRNA from 1 species
GUGUCAGCAGCCGCGGUAAUACGUAGGUGACAAGCGUUGUCCGGAAUUAUUGGGCGUAAAGGGAGCGCAGGCGGUUGGAAUAGUCUGAUGUGAAAGCCCACGGCUUAACCGUGGAAGGUCAUUGGAAACUGUCCAACUUGAAUACAGAAGAGGUAAGUGGAAUUCCAAGUGUAGCGGUGAAAUGCGUAGAUAUUUGGAGGAACACCAGUGGCGAAGGCGACUUACUGGUCUGUAAUUGACGCUGAGGCUCGAAAGCGUGGGUAGCAAACAGGAUUAGAAACCCUCGUAGUCC